UAGGCAGGUUUAUAGAGGACAACACUGUUUAGGCAGGUUUAUAGAGGACAACACUGUUUAGGCAGGUUUAUAGAGGACAACACUGUUUAGGCAGGUUUAUAGAGGACAACACUGUUUAGGCAGGUUUAUAGAGGACAACACUGUUUAGGCAGGUUUAUAGAGGACAACACUGUUUAGGCAGGUUUAUAGAGGACAACACUGUUUAGGCAGGUUUAUAGAGGACAACACUGUUUAGGCAGAUUUAUAGAGGACAACACUGUUUAGGCAGGUUUAUAGAGGACAACACUGUUUAGGCAGGUUUAUAGAGGACAACACUGUUUAGGCAGGUUUAUAGAGGACAACACUGUUUAGGCAGGUUUAUAGAGGACAACACUGUUUAGGCAGAUUUAUAGAGGACAACACUGUUUAGGCAGGUUUAUAGAGGACAACACUGUUUAGGCAGGUUUAUAGAGGACAACACUGUUUAGGCAGGUUUAUAGAGGACAACACUGUUUAGGCAGGUUUAUAGAGGACAACACUGUUUAGGCAGGUUUAUAGAGGACAACACUGUUUAGGCAGGUUUAUAGAGGACAACACUGUUUAGGCAGGUUUAUAGAGGACAACACUGUUUAGGCAGGUUUAUAGAGGACAACACUGUUUAGGCAGGUUUAUAGAGGACAACACUGUUUAGGCAGGUUUAUAGAGGACAACACUGUUUAGGCAGGUUUAUAGAGGACAACACUGUUUAGGCAGGUUUAUAGAGGACAACACUGUUUAGGCAGGUUUAUAGAGGACAACACUGUUUAGGCAGGUUUAUAGAGGACAACACUGUUUAGGCAGGUUUAUAGAGGACAACACUGUUUAGGCAGGUUUAUAGAGGACAACACUGUUUAGGCAGGUUUAUAGAGGACAACACUGUUUAGGCAGGUUUAUAGAGGACAACACUGUUUAGGCAGGUUUAUAGAGGACAACACUGUUUAGGCAGGUUUAUAGAGGACAACACUGUUUAGGCAGAUUUAUAGAGGACAACACUGUUUAGGCAGGUUUAUAGAGGACAACACUGUUUAGGCAGGUUUAUAGAGGACAACACUGUUUAGGCAGGUUUAUAGAGGACAACACUGUUUAGGCAGGUUUAUAGAGGACAACACUGUUUAGGCAGGUUUAUAGAGGACAACACUGUUUAGGCAGGUUUAUAGAGUCGAUAGGGGACAACACUGUUUAGGCAGGUUUAUAGGGGACAACACUGUUUAGGCAGGUUUAUAGAGGACAACACUGUUUAGGCAGGUUUAUAGAGUCGAUAGGGGACAACACUGUUUAGGCAGGUUUAUAGAGGACAACACUGUUUAGGCAGGUUUAUAGAGGACAACACUGUUUAGGCAGGUUUAUAGAGGACAACACUGUUUAGGCAGGAUAAUAGAGGACAACACUGUUUAGGCAGGUUUAU